rnacentral:rRNA from 1 species
CGCGGCCUAUCAGCUUGUUGGUGAGGUAAUGGCUUACCAAGGCGACGACGGGUAGCCGGCCUGAGAGGGUGACCGGCCACACUGGGACUGAGACACGGCCCAGACUCCUACGGGAGGCAGCAGUGGGGAAUAUUGCACAAUGGGCGCAAGCCUGACGCAGCAACGCCGCGUGAGGGACGACGGCCUUCGGGUUGUAAACCUCUUUUAGCAGGGAAGAAGCGCAAGUGACGGUACCUGCAGAAAAAGCACCGGCUAACUACGUGCCAGCAGCCGCGGUAAUACGUAGGGUGCAAGCGUUGUCCGGAAUUAUUGGGCGUAAAGAGCUCGUAGGCGGUUUGUCGCGUCUGCUGUGAAAACGCGAGGCUCAACCUCGGGCCUGCAGUGGGUACGGGCAGACUAGAGUGCGGUAGGGGAGACUGGAAUUCCUGGUGUAGCGGUGGAAUGCGCAGAUAUCAGGAGGAACACCGAUGGCGAAGGCAGGUCUCUGGGCCGCAACUGACGCUGAGUAGCGAAAGCAUGGGGAGCGAACAGGAUUAGAUACCCUGGUAGUCCAUGCCGUAAACGUUGGGCACUAGGUGUGGGGCUCAUUCCACGAGUUCCGUGCCGCAGCUAACGCAUUAAGCGCCCCGCCUGGGGAGUACGG